rnacentral:rRNA from 1 species
ACACGACUACAUUAGAUACCCGUGUAGUCCUAGCCGUAAACGAUACUCGCUAGGUGUCGGCCACGGUGCGACCGUUGUCGGUGCCGUAGGGAAGCCGUGAAGCGAGCCACCUGGGAAGUACGGCCGCAAGGCUGAAACUUAAGGGAAUUGGCGGGGAGCACCACAGCGGGUGGAGCCUGCGGUUUAAUUGGACUCAACGCCGGGAAGCUCACCGGAUAAGACAGCGGAAUGAUUGCCGGGCUGAAGACCCUGCAUGACCAGCUG